rnacentral:lncRNA from 1 species
UAUCUUCAUCCACCAGUUCUUCGCUUCAGGUGCAAUUACUGAAGCUAAAGGUUGUACCAGCAGAAGUGUUAGAUGCACCAAAUGCGUGGUACAGAGAAGAUCGAAAUGUGUUUUCCUACCUUCCAAGGAAUCAUGCCUGCUAUAGUAGACUACUGACUAUGUCCAAGAAAGCAGUAUCUGUCACCUCUUUGGUCUUUGUGGAGGUUCACAUU